CAGCCGCCACGGUAAUACGAAGGGGGCUAGCGUUGCUCGGAUUUACUGGGCGUAAAGGGCGCGUAGGCGGACAGUUAAGUCGGGGGUGAAAGCCCGGGGCUCAACCUCGGAAUUGCCUUCGAAACUGGCUGUCUUGAGUACGGGAGAGGUGAGUGGAACUCCGAGUGUAGAGGUGAAAUUCGUAGAUAUUCGGAAGAACACCAGUGGCGAAGGCGACUCACUGGCCCGUUACUGACGCUGAGGCGCGAAAGCGUGGGGAGCAAACAGGAUUAGAUACCCCAGUAGUCCCUGUCUCUUAUAC
rnacentral:rRNA from 1 species